UGUGUGUGUGUGUGUGUGUGUGUGUGUGUGUGUGUGUGUGUGUGUGUGUGUGAGUGUGUGUGUGUGUGUGUGUCUGUGUGUGUGUGUGUGUGUGUGUGUGUGAGUGUGGAAACCGGAACAGAAUGGAAUCUAAUGCAUUUUAGGAAUACCAGACAUGCCUGUGGUCUGAAUGGACAGUAUUCAUCCUGGUUCCCACUUUUCCAUCCAGCUUAUUCCGGACGGCUAUGGCAACCUGAUGGACGUUGCUGUGUAUGCGCAGCGAAGCGUGAGUGUUUUUAGUCUGCGCGUUUGAAUCUCUGCAGCUGGCCAGGCGUUAUAUCAUGUGUGCGUUGAGAGCUCAGCCGGUCUGGGGUUAAUAUCAUGGCCACAGCUGCGUUCUCACACUGCCCAGCAGACCUGAUCAUUACCGGAGCUCUGGAGCCCUGACACAUGCACACUGGCCACAAAUCAUCCAGUCAAUCAGAGCUGACAGCGACGCUGUAGUGUGAAGCGCAAGGAUGUAGUCCACGAAACACAGCAGCUAUGCGCCGUUUAAUUAUUACUAUUUUAUAUUAGUUUAAACCAAAUGUAAAAUACGUUGACAUUUACUCAUGACAUAAUGUCCUUUGUGAAAAAGAACUGUGCUUAAUUGUUCGGAAAUGUGAGCUGAUCGUAAAUGUAUAUACUGUAUUAAAAAAACAUAAUAUUGGUGAAAUAGAAGGCCAUAUAAAGUGCAUUCUGUAGUACAGUAAAAAUAAUAAUAAUAAUAAUAAUAAUAAUAGCUUUAUUUUCUAUAGCACCUUUAAAUGUUACUUCUGUGAAUAAGCAAAUAAAACAUCGAAAUAAACCCCAUAAAAAUGCAGAAUAAGCAAAAUAGAAAGAAAACGAGCAAUAAAAACUAUUUAAAAAAAUAUAAAAAUAUUUCUGUUUUGAAAAUAUCGGGAGAACAUUACAUCUUUUACUUUAAAGAACACUUACAUUUGUUGCUGUUUUCAUAUUUUAAUUUUGAAUAACGUUACUAGGCAUGUAAAGUACUUUAAUAAAUAUUAAAGAGGCGUGCUAUUAAAUUUUACAGUACAGUUGAAGUUCCUGUUGAAUUCUUAAUAAUCAUAGUUUAAAACUAACUACGUGCAUAAAAAAUAAAAAGCUCAGCUAACUGCACUUAAUAUAAAUUCCACAAUCAUAAAAUUUUCAUUAAAUUGCAACUAAAAUGUCUUAGAUUCUGAAAACAUUACAUUACGUUUACAAUUAAGCAUAUAUGCAUUUUAAAUCAAAAGUGUACUAUUUCUAUAACGUGUACUCUAUUUAAAGUCCUUCCUUUCACAAGGUGAUCUUUUUUAUUUGCAACUCGUUUGCCUUUGUUCAUUUUGUAAAUGUGAAUAUAAUAAGCUCUAAACGUAAUUUGUCUCUUCACUCUUCAUUAGCCUUUCAGCCAGUUAUUAUUUAUUCGCCACCGCUCAAACGGAGAAACAUUAAAAAGGCUUUUUUCCCUUACCGUUUCAAGGUGUCGUUUUCAUUUACUUUGGCGUUUUUUUUUUUUUUUUAUACGCGUGUUGUUUAAGUUUUUUUAUGCAUUCAUGAGCAGACAGAAGAACAUCUGUAGCUUUCAAAACAUUCAGCUCAUUAGCCAAUAGUCAUUACACGGUGUCCCACUGUUUCUCUUGUUUUUCUCCUCUUCUUUUCUUUCAGAGGUUUUUUUUUCUCCCGUAAAAUUGAUUCUGAUUUUUAAACUCAAUACAAAAGUGUCUGACUCAGAUGUUUCUAUUGAGUGUCUUGUGCUUUGGCGUCAUCUUGCAGUUCGAAUGUGACAUUUAAUGAAGCAAUGGCUUGAAAGAUGAAAUGCCCUGAAAGAGGAGGUUGGCAGUUAGAUGAAUAACAUUGCCACCGUAUUUUAUACCAAAUGUAUAAAAGACGCGCAUACAUAUUCUAAUACUUUAACUAAAGGCUUUACAUUGCAGUGGCAUUCUUCAUUGCAUAUUUAUGAGGUCGAGAUCAGGCAUUAAAUGCUUGUCCAUCUGUGGAAGUGCCUGUUUAUAAUUUAAGUCACCUUGAUUGUUUCUCCCAGAUGCUGAAAAAAUGCAUCUGAAGGAACGAAGCAUUAUUUAGUUCAUAAUAGGCUUCCUUGCACAAAAUCGUAUUCUUGAUGCCAUCCUUGUCUCCCAUCAGUCCCAUUUUAGAGUUUUUGCAAGCAGCUUCAAAGAAGUAAACAGGAAAAUAAUAUAAUAGAAUAUAAAAAUGGAAACUCAACAGUGGAGACAGAUCAAAUUCUGCGGCGAUGCAAUCAUAAAAUACAAUACUAAUGUCACUAUUUAGCUCGAGUGAGUCGAUUCGGAUUCUUCGCGAUAUCUGCUUCUCUUGAUCAUCAGCAAUUUUUUGGCCACUGGAUCAUCCUGAAUUUAAUGUGUUAGGACCAAGCCUCCAUAAGCUAACAUAUUGUGGAGUUUGCCAGAUGUCAAAGGUUUAAAUUCCCCAAUCACAUCCUUUUGCUUAAAUCGAUACAGUUUCUGCGCGGUGGUUUACUUAAUCUUCCAACCUGGCAACCAUGUGUAUGCACUCUCUCUGCACUGCAGAGCUGUAAAAUCCUAGCAAAAUGUACGUUUUCUGCCCAAAUAAGAGUGUAAUAUAGAGCAAACCGUACACGUAGAUUAAAAGUACAACAAUUGGUGAUAAAAUGUCAUUUAAAAAAAUAAUACUAAAUAAUUCUGAUUAAUAGCUUAAACGUUAUCUUGCAGCCCUAAUAACAGUGUACUGCUUACAUACAUGUAGAUUGAUUAUCGGCCAAGUAAUAAUUCCAAUAUUUCAAUUUAUUCUUCCAUGUCCACUUAAAAGGGUCUUUUGAUUCAUUUUUUAAAUCCCUAUUUUAAAAUCCCAUUUUUUUAAAUCGGGCUUCUGAGUUCUGAGCUUCCUGUCAGAAUAAUUUAGAUUUGCACAAGCCACUCCCACAAUAGUUGAUUGGCAAGGCCGCCUUACCCGCCCUGAGUGAGCUGUCAACAGUUAGACAUUGUGUCGAUUAACGUCCUUUUCAGUUUGAAGGUAAUGCGCCGAUCCCCGAUCUAAAUAAAUGCAUUUAUGUUAUGAAUUAGCAAAAUUGCCUUUGCUGGUUAGCCAGUUUACCGGCUGAAGUUUACAGCAUGCUGGUCACUUCGUGGCAUAGAAUGGCUUGCUGAAAACAAAGCUGAUCUUGACGGAGUGAAAAAAAUACACUACCAUUAAGAAAUUUUAACCAAAAUAUGUUAUGUUUGCACAGUAUGUAUCAUUUUGGGAUAUGUUCAUUUAAAAUAUCAGAAGAGUAUGUAUGUAAACAGUUUGUCGACCGAUAUAUCGUCAAGGCUGACAUAUCGGCCAAUAUUUGGCAUUUUUAAAACACACGCGUUUACAUUUUUCCAUUUGGCCGAUAUGUUUAAGGCGGGACUUUUAUUUUGAUGUUGCUGAGAAAAAAAGCGCCUGAGCACUAGUUAAACAAAGUAGUUAAAAUAUAUAUUAAAGAAGCAUUAUAACGAUUAUAAUAUUAGCAGUAAAAAAGCAAACAUUAUAAUACUUGUCGUGAGCAUUCAGCAAAUACGCAUUUAUUUCACUUAAAUCUUUGAAUUACUAAUGAAAAUGUAAAUUUACAAAACUUGCAAACUUAGUUGAAUCUAGCUGAUAUCUUGAGAAGUGUGUGUGUAUCCUGGUUGUGUGUUCUCUGCGUGACGGUCUGUCCGUGUGAAUUAAAUGCUGAUGGAAGAGGAGUUCAGCUUCACAUAUGAUUUCAUAUUAUGCAAAUUCUUACAUUUUACUUAAAGUUAUAUUAUCGUAAUAUCGGCUAUUGGCCACCCUGCUUUCCAAAAUAUCGGCGUCGGUCUUCAAAAAGGCCAUAUCGGUCAACCACAAGUGCAGGCUUUGUAUUUAAAAUGUCUCUUGAUAUAUACCUGUAAUUAUUGAUUAUUUAAUAGACACAAUUCAGAAAACUAAGCUCAAGGUACUACAGAGGAUUUUUAUCGGGAAGUUAGCUUCACUUUGGUUUGUUUGACCAAAAGCCUUUAACAUUUGGAUUAUUUGAUCACAUGUGUUAAUUGUCAAGAUCAUCUUCAUUUAUAUAUUUAUAUAUUAAAUAUCAUUGCCAGAAGUAAAUAGUUAAAAGCUUGUUAAAUAAGUUUCUUUCAAUCUAUAAUUAAAAAUCUACAAGUUUGAGUUAGAAACAUUUACAGGAGUGUAAGUAUAAAUACAAUGAGGCUAUAAUGGUGAACUAUUGAAUAAAUGAGUUUUCCUUUUCAACAACCUCUAUAGCGUAAUAAAAUAUCUCAUCAUUCACUCAUACAUUUAUAUGUUUAAUCUAUCAGCUGCCAUUAUGUUUUGCCGCAGAACAACGUUAGCGAUUUUAGCAUUUAGCAUUUUCUGCAUCUUUGCAGGACUGCAAUACUAACACUGUACAAACUCUCAUAUCUUUACCAACAGUGCGAAAGUAAAUAGCACAUAAUAGGCAAAGUACUGGUACAAAGAUAGAUAUCCGUUGGUUCAUUAUGUGUCACAUGGCGAAACAUGCAUCGUCGCUUUCUAACCACUAUUUUCACACUCCAGUGUGGCUAGCUACAGAUAUGCCAUUUGCUAGCUCUUUUGCAAAAGUUACUGUAUUUUUUUUUAUAAAUAUUUUCCGUGUGCAAUAUGUAUCAGGUGGCCUAUAAAAAGACUGUAGGCGAUCCGUAGGCAUGGAUUAAGGCUUCAUUACCCAGAGCAAAAAAUCAGUGCUAAGUCCCAUUCAGAAUUAAAAGUGUGAACGUUUCUUAACCCAAGGUUAAAAGCGGCCCGGGGGUUAAAAACGAUGUUAACCCAGGGUUAAUCGCGGUGGGAAAAACCUUUAAGUGUACUUUCAGCUAACUAGUUAUUACAGACUUCGAUAUGCAACAUAUAGGUUAAAUGUAACCCCAUGGGUAAAUCUUAAAGUACUGUACUGUAUGUCUGUUAAUUAAAGCGAAGCAGACGGCCGAGGUCACACCGGAUUUAGCUUUGUGUCCACGGGUAAUUCGCUCUGUACUCGUGAUCAGAGAGAACCAGAGGGGAUGUUGGCACUGUCUGUGUUUUCCAGCGGGAAAGAGGGUGGCUUCAUGGCAUCGUUGUGUAAUAGGUGUCAGUCUGAACUAGGAAAACAAACCACGUUUUCCUGCGGCUGGAGCGGAGCAGCAGACUAUGUGAAAUUACACAGCCAGGCCUCAGGGGCAUGGAGAGGAAUUUCAAAGGAAACACAGCAGUCUGCUUCAUAUUGAGAUUACAUUAAGGGAACCGAAUGCAGUCUGGAAUGUGUAAAGGGGCCGUUCGGAGUGUAAUAAUCAUAUUAGUCUGGCAGUGUGAGCUCCAGCUUCACCCAGCAGCUAAAAAAAACCCUGCUUUGUCUUGUGUAUUCAGUGUCUUCGAUUCAGUCUCUAAACUGGUAGUUUUCUCUCUUCUUUGCUGUAUUUUUCUCCUUUUCAUAAGCCUGUUAGCUUCUAUAGCCGGUGCUCUUUUAUGUUCAUCCGUAUAUAUGCAUUCCUGACUCACUGAUUCCAUUUAUUUUUUUUAUGGUAAAUAGGACCACCACAAUGGUGUACCCUCCUUUCAAACAAACAAAUUCAACCCCUGGUGACUCCCUGAGGACUGUGCUUGCAACAAAUGCACUUUGGAUUAAAGCAUUAGCUAAAUGGCAAAGAUUGACUUGCGUGUUUGGUAAAUAGUCGGUUCAAUAAGGCCUGAAAUGUUAAAGUACACAAACACUGGCGUGAAUGCUUGACUAACAUAUUGUAGGUGAAUGUUCAUUUUGAACAUGCAUUGAACAUCUGUUGUGUUGCUAUGUAACUGUGCCAGUAAUAAACCUCAAUAUUCAAAUGGAUGGACUAUUUAAGGUCUGUGCCAUUAAAUAUGUAAAAAAAAAUAAAAAGCUUGUUUAAGUCGCAUUUGUGUUCAUGAGAUUCAAUAAUAUUUCACAUGUUUUUCAUUUCUAAAUAACAAUUAAUUUUUAUAAUUUUAAUAAAUGUCAGUGAUGCAAGUGAAGAUGAAAAGAGUGAAGAUGAAAUCCACACAAAAUGAAUUAUAUUCUUAAAAAGAAUGGAUUUAUUAUUGACCAAAACGGCCCCACUUUAUAUUAACUGGGCUUAACUACUGUGUACUUACAUUUAAAUUAAUAAUUUAGUAGAAUGCACUUAUUGUAUACAUACUUGUCUUUUAAGUCGUAGGUAUAUUGUUAGAAAUACCUAUAUUUAAUUACACCUUCAUAUUUACACUGUUGACCCAUUCCUUACACCUUACAAACCUGUAUCUCACCUCAACAGCAGCCAAAGUCUUUUAUAAUACAACAUGACCACAAUGAGUACAUUGUACUUAGUUUCUGAUGCAAGUACAUAUUAAUUAAAGUCACCUAAUAUUUUGUGACCAAAAAAGUUUUUCGUGUGGUGUAACCAUCUGCGUAGACCAGGGACUCCCAAGUACAACCAUUAGCUGAAAAUUCAUUGUCAGACAGUUCUGUCAAAGCAAACAAAUCCAAAUCAAGAGACAGCAGGGGUAAACAAGGAAUACAGGUUAUGCUAGGUAAAGAUAACACUCAUAAUUGCAAAACAACUACAAUUGGUAAGAAUGUGUGCUGAAGUGAAGCCAAACAGAAUAUGGGGGAUAGUAAAGUGAAUUGAGAACAGUUGUGGGAGAAGAUGGCAUGAAGCAAAAGUUUCAGGUCAUUAUAGUACAGGGUGAGUUAAUAUUCAGGGGAGAAAGACCUCAUGUAGAGAGGAGUGGUGGUGUUACGACUGGUGAACAAUUCGGCACCAUUGCGGAAAAGAGGAAAAUUACAGCAGAGAGGACCCCUGCAGACCCUUAUUUGUGUGCCCAGUUCAGAUAAUUUCAUUUUUUUUGACAAAGUUAGUUCAGGUUUUAAUGUGUUGUUACUCCUACUAAGUUAUUUUUCUGUUCUUUGUUUAGAGAUAAAAAAGAAGUUAACACACAGAUACACAACAAAGCUAAAUAUCAGCUCUGCAAUUCAGCACUCCGGUCCAGUAAAGUCAAGCCAUCGUUUUUUUUAAAUAGCACUUUAUACAAAAGAUUGCUUUAAAAGCAGCUUUACAGUAUUAAACGUGACAAAAGUGUUGCUUUCAAUUAGAGCUUUUUCUAGCAAGUUCACUUUGAUGUAUUUAAAAUGCAUUAUUAUUAUUGAAAUACAAUACAGUGCAGUUUGUAGAUCCAAGAUGGCGAUUAUUUUGAUUAUUAUCGUUAUUAUCAUUAUUUUUAUGUUGUGUACCAAAAGUUAAGAUUGAACCACUGAAGGCAGAUGGACUAUUUUGACGGUGUCUUUCAUGCUUAUCUGGACACUGACAGUGUUACUUGGCAGUCCAAAAUAUCCUAAACUGUGUUCAAAGGAGGAACAAGGCUUUUAGGGGUUUGACGCAACAUGGGGGUAAGUGAUUAAUUUCGUUUUUUUAUUAUUAUGCGGUGGAAUAAGCCUAACAUUAGCAAUUUAGACAAAUAUAAAGAGCUGUUUCUCAGUCUGAGUUUGUCCAUACACCACCCAUUUUACAAGAUGUUGUUGACUCGAGAGAAAUGGCUUAUGGAAAAUAGCUGCAUUUACAUUAGCUAGCUCAGUUUACCGUAUUUGUGUAUUUUGCACCGUGUCUCUUGUGGCAAGAGUGUGAGGGAAGCCUGACUAGACUUAAUUAAUCAGGUUUUCACGGGGUGUGGAAACCGACGGAGCCACCUGGAGAACUGCCACCGGCAUUCAGCUUCUGUCACUGUCAUUCUCUAUGUGAAGGACAAAUGAAGUCAUAUUAAAAUCAUAUUAAAUUACAAUAUAGGUGUAGACAUUUUAAUGCUGGCACGGACAGCGUUCUAAUUUCUUGGCCCGGUUGCUUCCUGUCUUUGAAUUAUUCACGUCAUUUUCGGUCGGGAGUAAAUGUUUUCCUUUUAUGUACUUUAGACCUCUGCUUGCCAAAUCCAGCAUAUGUGUCAGUGCGUUCUCUCUGCUUUCAACUCUGCCACUUGGCAGCUGCCUACAGCUGGCUGGACACUGUGUGUAACAUACGAGUUGGUGACGGUGUGCUGAGAGAGAGAGAGAGAGAGAGAGAGAGAGACACGGUGUGCUUGGCGAGGGCUGUUUGAGUGAGAAGAGUGAGCUGGUUGUGAGUUUCAGAGUUUCCUGUCCAGCUGUAUCAUUGGCACGGGCUGAAAGAGAAGGACUCAGACCCUCGCACAAUACAGCACUUGUGUUGCAGUCCGGGAACUCAGGAAUGCGGCUCUCACCUUCAUAUGGCUGACAGGAGUUUGUUUUGGAACGAGAGAUAUUAUCCAACGCACUCGCUCGCUCGCUUUUUCGCUUUUCCUCACUUACGUCUCUCUCACUCUUUCAUGACCGUCCUCAAAGUAAAGAAAAUACAGUGACUUCAGCCUGAAAUCUGACAUCUGACUCCUCCACCUGCAGUAGUUUCUUUCAGUUCGUGAUUUUUUUUAGUCCCUUUUAUCCCGUUAGCAAUUUUGACUGCAGCUCUUCCGAGCAUUCCCAUUCAAUUAAACGCUAGGAAUUUCUAGAGACCUUCCUAAAUCACUUUAUCCGUUCAUUAAAGCCAGUUUUCAUGAAACACAUGGGUGUGAAAAUCACAGGGAUCAAAACCUUUCUCGCUGGAAGACGGAUUAAGCAACAGACUCUCACUUCAUAUGAGAGAGAAAUGAGAAAAAAAUGUAUGCCUGGGUUAUUUUAGGAUUUGAUACUGGUGAUUGAGUUUGACCUUUAAAAAAUAUAAAUGUCCUAUUUUUAUGAAUCAAACCUUCCUUAUGCUCUUGUGUUAUGCUAUGUUUGUAGUUGAUUAGUGUUAUACUUAAAGUCAAUGUAACAGAAGUAAAACAUAGCAUCUUCCAUAUUGUAGUGCAUUUAAAAUAAAGAUUCAAAAGUUUUUCACACAGAUGCCAUAGUGGAACUAUUUUUGCUUCCUCAAAGAAGCUUUUAGCGAACAUUUCUUAAAGUGUCCCUAUUAUGGAUUUUUUAAAAUUACCUUUAAUACAGUGUGUAACACAGCUCUAAUUGAAAACAUCCUGCAAAGUUUUAAAUCUAAAAGUGCACUGUGUGUAGUUAUUGUCUGUCAAAAGAAAGAGUCGACACUAAACCAUUAAAACGAGUCCCAAGCCAUUUCAUGUUGACAUCCACUUGUUGGUCUUUUAACGUUGGUCUGAAUGAAAAUGCUAAUUCAUUCUUUGCCACUAGAUGCUGCUUUUUGGAGCGUUAAAACCUCACAAGCACUGCUU